AUCUGCGAUAAGCGCCGGUAAGGUGAUAUGAACCGUUAUAACCGGCGAUACCCGAAUGGGGAAACCCAGUGUGACUCGUCACACUAUCAUUAACUGAAUCCAUAGGUUAAUGAGGCGAACCGGGGGAACUGAAACAUCUAAGUACCCCGAGGAAAAGAAAUCAACCGAGAUUCCCCCAGUAGCGGCGAGCGAACGGGGAGGAGCCCAGAGCCUGAAUCAGCAUGUGUGUUAGUGGAAGCGUCUGGAAAGGCGCGCGAUACAGGGUGACAGCCCCGUACACAAAAGCGCAUGUGCUGUGAGCUCGAUGAGUAGGGCGGGACACGUGGUAUCCUGUCUGAAUAUGGGGGGACCAUCCUCCAAGGCUAAAUACUCCUGACUGACCGAUAGUGAACCAGUACCGUGAGGGAAAGGCGAAAAGAACCCCGGCGAGGGGAGUGAAAAAGAACCUGAAACCGUGUACGUACAAGCAGUGGGAGC
rnacentral:rRNA from 1 species